UUGACUUGUUUUACAUGGGAUUUUUGAUGUGUUAAAAUUGUUGUUGUGCUUCCGAUUCUUGGCAUUGACAGUCUGGUUCCAUCGAGAUCGAUGAUGAAGAUGUCAGUGCCCAUGGAAGUGGCAAGCAGAUCACCAGGCAGAAGUUGAGGCGAUCAUCAGUUACCAGUAGUCGUCAUGAAGAAGCCAAGGCCAUGCAGCUGUUGGUGAUGGGACCUGUCAGGAUGCCCACCAAGGUGCUCAACAUCAGCACCAGGAAGUCCCCCCUGUGGCGCAAGGUGAACUCUCCCGCCUCUCUGCUCGAUCCCAUUUACUUGGUUGAUCCCUGCCAAUAUUGUGUGGUAUAUCCUUGGUGAAUUUGUCAUCCCAUCAGUACUGAAAUUGAGUUGAAAUUCUUAUAACAGAGCCAUGCUUGUAACUGUGUCAGAUCAUACAAUGUUGAACUUAAUGUUCCUUGGUUUGCAUUCUUGCACUAGAAAACAUGAUUGCAGUUUAUUUGAGAAGACCCAUGUUUGUAAUCAUGUGAGAUCAUUGGAUUUUGAGCUAACAUUUCAUUGGUUUGCGCUAAGAAGCCCGUUUGUUUGCCAACGGUUGGUCUCAGCUACAGAAACAAUCACUCUUGUACUGAUGGUAUCUUGGUUUGCGUCUAGAAACACAUUUGUUAAACAAUAAUCAGUCUCAGCUACAGAAAAUACCGGUUAAUGUACUGUUGGUAUCUUUUAAAAUACAAAUAACUCUAUGGUUUGUACAGAAACAACAACGUCUGGCUGUGUUGAGAGCUAUAGACAUAAUGAUUCUCAUAUAAGUAGGAUAUACAUAAGAUGUUUAAAAUGACCAGAAUCAUGCUUCUCACUUUCUGCCAUAUUAAGGCACUUGGUUGUGUAACCAAGAGCCCAUUUGUGGUUCUAGUUAUAAUUUACUGUUAUGUCAUAAAUAGGAUGAUUUUGACUUACUCUUGUGUCCAGAUUAGAACUUUGUAACUGUGUCAGACCGUUGCAUUGUGGACUAACAGUUCCUUGGUCCGCAUUAAGGAACCGUUCGCUAAGAAACCAGCCAGGUGGUCUCGCCUACAGAAACUACCACUCUCUUUGGUGUCUGGUGAUAGUAUAUCUUUUAGAAGACACAAAUAAGUCUUUUGUUUCUACAAAAACAACAGCAUCUGGUUAUGGUGAAAGAUAUAGAGAUAUUGUGCUCAUAUCAGUAGAAUAUAUGCACGAGAUGUUGAAAAUGGCCAAAAUCACACUUCUUGCUUUUGGCCAUACUAACGCACUUAGUGGUGUAAUUAGGCUGCAUUUGUGGGCCAUGCUUGUGUGUUUGAUUCUACUACGUCCAUUCCAAAAUAUAAUACGUUUUGGAAUGGAGGUGGUAAUUAGCUAGGGGAUUGUUUACUGGUUGCAGUUAGAUUUUAGUGUUGUGUUUUAUAAAGGAUGAUUUUGACUUACUGUUUGCGCGUCCAGAUUAGAUAUAUGCAUCUGCUUUUGGGAAAUAACACAAUGCUAAAUGUGACAUUGAAAAUUGAGGAUGUUAACCAUUAUAUCCCCUUCCUUAUUUGUAGAAUGUAAUUGUGUCAGAUCAUUGGAUUGUCAGCUAACCAUUCCUUAGUUUGUAUUAAGAAACCGUUUGUUAAAACUUAAAACAGCAGGCAGUCUAAGCUACGAAAACUAUUGCUUGCUCUAGUGGUAGUAUCUUUUAGAAGACACAUAUAAGUCUUUGGCAUCUACAAAGACAACAUCAUCUUGUUAUGGUGAGAGCUGGCACUUGGUUGCAUAAUCAGAACCUAUUUGUGGUUGCUGUGUUUGUGUGCUGGAGUAUAUCGCCUUGACUUCACAUCUGAAUGGCAAUAGCAUAUCUCUCACUUUAUGUUGCAUCUGGUUUUCUACAGUCUGCUAUUGUCUGCAAAUUUUGUAUUGUGUUGACUUGUGACCCCUUUUGGUUGUCUUGAUGUUUGGAUUUCUUUACGAUUUGGCACUUUUGCUGGUGAUAUGACUCUGAUGUUAUGUCUUUUGCAACCCGGUGCAGAAGCCCGUGAACUCGUCUGUGUGGGCCUCCUGGGGUGCGAUGGCGGCGGUGGCGGUAUACAGCCUUGUCUACAACUGUGCGGUAAGUUCAUGGUUUUCCUCUGUCCACCCCUCUCCCGGUUGCUCUGAGACCUAGCCCUAGAGCUAUGGCUGCUCAGUGUGCCGGUCAUCGAGCCAUGGUUUAUUAUGUGAUGGUAGACUCUCUAGCCAUUUCCUUACACCAGUAGUAUUGUUACUGUUCGCAUGUUCAAGCUUUUUGAUAUGCUCUCGGUUAAUGAUCAUGACUUCACUUUGUGAAUGGUCUUGCCCUGCUACGGGUGUUAUCAUCUUUGUUUUUGUGGGCUUGCUAAAUAAUUUUAAUCAUAGAUAUUCUAUGGGUGUUUCUGAGAUUCCCACAUAGAUUCAGAUUAUACUAGAUGGUAGCUUAGCUUCUUUUGUUAGUACUGGUGCAUGGUUUGUUCCGGAUUUGAUGUAAAGCAUUAGUCUUGAUAUGCAAGGAACAAUUCAUCUAGGACGAUGUUUUGCUGAAUCCAACUGAUCGUUGUUGUUUAGACUUGCCAAUGGUGCAUUGUCUGUGUAGCAGUGUUCCUUAAGUUUUGACAAGUGAAGCAAUAGGACACAUGAUGAUGCUAGGUUAUUUGUAUUUUUUCAGCGAUGAACUCGCGAACUAGUUCGCAGGCGGCCUAGUCCUUCCAGUGAGCAAUGAUAUGUAGGAUCUCUCAAAGAAAAUUCUCAUUCCAUACAUACCGAGUGUCUUUCCCCACUCUUUUGUUUUUAGCUUGUCAUGGCAAGAUUUCUUCCUGGCAAGUUAAGUAUAUGUGAAUGUUCAUCAACAUGCAAAAACUGAGUUGCAGUUAUUUGAUGUUUUGCCAGGGCAGUUUCUACGAGAUGCAAACAUGAUUGUGCUUGUCGCCCAGGACCAGGAUGUCGACGUAUGGUGUGCACCAGGAGGCGAACUCGUGCGGCUCAAGGACAGAUUGUUGUGAUGAUCUAUCUGGGUUGUCUAGAAAAAUCCCAAUUUUGAGUGAAGAGUGGAUCCUGUUUGCUGCAAUCUUCAGUACGUAUUGGAUCCCAAUUCCGUUUGUUUCUGGGAUGAUGCAGAUUUUUUGCCUGUCUAUACUAUAACUUGCUGAGAAGAACCAAUUGUCGCAGAUACUAGUGUCGAUGUUGCCUAACCAUUGUUCGAGGCUGAAGAAGCAAAUAGAUGAUCUGGAUGAGAAGAUGGUGGUGACUGACUCUUCUCCCGAGUCUUUGGCGUCCAAGUAGAUCCAGGUGAGUACUUUAGUAACUCAGGCCAUAUGAUCUGGGGCAACAUUGCUGCAUGACAUUAUUUGGCCAUCUCAGUUUUUACUGGUUGCACGACUAUAGCUCCUUUAGUAACCCAGGCCAGUAUGGCCAUUCAGAUAAAUUUGGCCAUCUUCAAGGGAUACGAAAUGACCACUCAAGUAACCCAGUUCCAGUGUAAUACGGACAUGAAGUAAAGCACCAGAUCAUAAUUGUUGUAGCGGCCCUUGUUCUACCUUGGCACCUCGUGCCAACAUAACAAACUGUUUUUAGGCCGUUGUGAUGUAAACUGCCGGUCCAUGUCUUUUGAUAAGCAAGCACAUUUAUCUAGAUGUCAUGUUAGUGUGUGCUUUGAUAGCUGCAUGUUGUCCGUCAAGUAAGAGUGCAUUUACCAACCAUACCAGGAUCCAUCUCAAUACGAGUUAGCAUCUGAUAGCUGUUGCAUGUUCUUUUCAUUUUGUUGGUACAAUUUCUGUUUGUCCAUAAUCUUAGAGCCUAAGUACUAUUUAUGAGAAUUUCCUGAAAGUGAAAUAUGACAAGAAAACUGGACUGGUUAAGGUGUUAUGUUUGUAAAAACUCUUGCUAACAGAUGCUGCUAAGCUAGCUAUGUUAAAUUUCUUGAGGUGGCUGAUAAGAACUUGUGGCAUACUCGACCUAUUCCAAUGUGUUUUGCUGAUGUGCUUCUUGGACGUGACAGGAUUGUCCUUUGUAGGUUGCUUUCUUGUGAUAACCCCUUGUUCGUUUGCUAUUAAUUGAUCUUGUUCUCUCUUGCUCUUUGCCCAGGAUGGUGAGGACGGCGAAAAGAAAAGAUUUUUGCUGGAGAUGGUGCACCCACACCCAUCGGGCUAUUCUUCCGGAGGGCAAAGCGGGCAAGAAGAGGGGUCAAUGGAGCUUGGAGCUCUAUGGGAAGUCUGGUGGUUUUGCUUUAUAUUUUGAUUUUUACAUGUGAAUGGGACGUUGUUUGCCUCGUUUUGCCGGGUGCUCAUGUUGUAUCCAACAUAUGUCUUUUUGAAAAGCAAUGUCAUGCUUCUCUAUGGGAGACGAGAGGUGCAUUUGGGAAGUCGCAAAAUCAUUGCUUUGUCAUGGGCUGGUCUGAGUUUCAAACAAUGUGAUGUUUUUUUUCUCUCGAAUGACAACCAGGAUAUUAGUAUGAUCUUUUUUUUAUCCAAUGUAUGUACCGAAGGAUCAUCACCCUCUUAUGUUUUUGUGUCGUGAAUACUCACGAGCUAAUCAUCCUCGUGUUUCGUAAAAUUUAAG
rnacentral:lncRNA from 1 species